rnacentral:lncRNA from 1 species
UCUCGGCCUCUCAUCCGCGUCGGCAACCAUAACACGACGCUCUCCUCCACUCCAUCCCUCCACCGCCGCAGCUACCACAACCCCUAGCUAGAGUUGGAUCAGCUUGAUCUCAACGUCGGCGAGCCUCGGAGAGGAGACGACGUUCAGUAGUACGUGGGCCACCUUCGCAAAGAGGAGCACCUGUUGUCGGCUCCCGUUCGCGUGCCAAAAGGGGCGGUGUGUCGCGCAACCUCACCUUCUGCAUCGUCGCCUCGCCACAUCGGCGGAGCAGGAGGAGCAUCAUUCGACAUGAGAUCUGCAUCCGUUGAAGGUGGCUUCGUCAAUCCUCCGCAGCGUCCAAGGAGCGGUGCAGCAGCCGCUUCAAGCUGUCGGACGCCGCGUGCCCUAAAGCGGCAUCAUAUAUAUCGCGCGGCCACGACCACGACAUGGUGCGAGGUAGCCAAGCGCAGCGCAUGCAGACGAGCUAGCUGGGCGUGACUAGCUAGGACCUUGUAGCGCGGGUGGCAACGAUCAGGCAUAGGAAAUUAAAAGCUGAGCAAGCACAGAUGAGCCGGUGCGGGCGUGCGGCAACGGUCGGUGUGUUUCUUUUUUUUUUAACCAUUUUUAGGGGUGUUUAGAACUGGUCCACAAAUUUCACCAUAAGCGGCUCUAAAAAAAUUUGGAGUUUGUGAAGUACAUGCUCUCACAACUCCACCAUUUUUCCUUAAACUAAGGAAGCAUUUGAGACUGCUCUGCUCUACGUAUUUUAGCCAAACGGUUCAGCUCCACUCAUUCAGUUUGAGAAAAAAAGGUGGAGUUGUGAGAGCACCUAAACUGUUACUCCACAAACUCCAGUUUUUUGUGGAGCUGCUCCAUGGUGGAGUUUGUGGAGCAGAGUUUGUGGAGCAGUCCCAAACACCCCCUGAGUGCGUGGAGCUGAAACUGUUUGGCUAAAAAACGUAGAGCAGAGUAGUCCCAAACACUUUAUUAAGGCUUAAGCCAACCAAGUCUAGAGGUACAUAUGUAAGAGCAGGCUACCUUUGAAUUAGAGGUGCAUUUUUAGGGUCA